rnacentral:lncRNA from 1 species
CUAGUAUAUAAUUUAGUUAUCAAGCUCCUGUUAUAUUAACUGUAUAUAAUUAAUAUGUAAUUAAUAUAGUUAUUAAGCUGCUAUAUUAACUAUAUCUAACUAAUAUAUAACUACUAUAGUUAUUAGGCUCCUAUUAUAUACCAGGCACUGUGUGAAGCACUGGGAUAUUAGUAGCUGUUAUGGUUCUUACCUCUCAUGUUUAUUGAGAGGCUCAAAUCAAAUUGUGUCCUUAAAGGACUUUGCAUGCAAACUAUUAUUAUCAUUACUAUUAAACCCUUACCUUCCGCCUUGGAAUCAAUACUGUGUAUUGGUUCCAAGGCAGAAGAGCAGUAAGGGCUAGACAAUGGGGGUUAAGUGACUUGCCCAGGGUCACACAGCUGGGAAGUGUCUGAGGUCACAUUUGAACCUGGACCUCCCUACUCUAAACUUGGCUCUCAAUCCACUGAGCCACCCAGCUGCCCUGCAAACUGUUAUUAUUCAUUGUACUAUGGAAAUGAAAAUUCUUGUAAUUUGCACCAUGCAUUGUAUAUAUGUAUAUAGAAUAAGGUCUGGACCCAUGGUUUCUUUGGUUUAGGAAAUUCCCUGGGUGAUAAAAUCCCCCUCUCAGUGUGAGUUGGCACGUCCCCUGAAAUGUAUAGUCUUAGAGGGUUGCCUGGAUGAUGAGGCAUUGUCACAUGCUGGGAGUCAUAGAGCUGGUAUGUGUCAGAGGCGAGCCUUGAUCUUUGGUCUUUCUGUCUUUGAAGCCAGCUCUCUAACCAUUAUCCCUGGCUAUUUCUCAUUUACUCAUCUCCAAUUCUUACUAAAAUUGAGAGAAGUGAGGGGUUAGAAUCUAAUAGAGGGCACGUUCCUAGGGAUGAAUGAACAAGCUGUGGCAGCAUGGAGAAAAGCCGGUGAACAUGAGAGGGGCCGUGCAUGAUGGGUCCACACAUGGAAGAUACCUAUGGAGGAACAACUCAUACUCCUCUGACCCUUUGAUGACAUCUGUUAAGACUGCUGCACUGAUUUCCCUGAGCUUAUGGCUUUGAUCUGUGGUCAUUUUAUCUCUAUUAGGUAUGUAUUGAUCUACUGGUCCCCACUGGUCUCAGUGAAGUGGUAUUAUAGUAGCUGCUAGAGACAUAAUUUCUGUUGGGCAUUACUUCCUGCUUCUAUUAUCUGGGCUGACUUUUUCAGGGCUAGCCAAGCUAUGUGAGCUUCACUUUGGUCCGGUAGGUAUAGUCACAAGAAUAUCUUCUUGAUAAGAAGUAGAUUCACACAGCCUAAUUUAGACAUUAUCAAACUACCAAACAAAAACCAGGCAGA